GAUUUCAGCUGAAGACUUGAGAGAGCAGCUUCAUGAGAAAGGCGGCCUAGUCAAGAAUCAUAACUUGAACAUCUUUUCAUAUGCCUCUUGGCCGUCUGUAUAUUUUCUUUGGAAAAAUGAAUCAGUGAUCUUCAAGGAUGCGGCUGUGGACUUUACCAGGAAGAGUGGGCCUUGCUGGACACAUCCCAGAGAAAGCUGUACAGAGAUGUGAUGCUGGAGAAUAUCAGGCAUCUUGUCUCUGUGGAAGUGACCUUAAAAACCAGGAAAUGACAUGUAUACCAGAUAUCUGCAGGAAGGACCUUCUAACCACACAGUCAAUGAAAUCUCACACCGGAGAGGGACUCGUGGAAUAGAAUGAGUGUAAGGAUGAUUUCACUCACGGAUUAACGGUGACUUCACAUGUGUUAACUCAAAAGGGCCCAGGAGAUCCACCUCAUUAAGCUGUUGGACCAAUCGAGGCAGCAAAGCUAUGAAGAAACACCAAAGUGUCACCGGGAAAAGACCACAGAUUUUCUCAAGGACGUGCAAUCCAGCUCCACUCUCAGCAAACACUUCUUGUUCAUGAGAUCUUUGAAUGGCUAUGAAGAGGAGAGAAAAAAACCAGACAAUCACCAAGAUGCAAAGGGAGAGGAUGACUUCAAGUUCUGAGCUGCCUUGACUUUGAACCCCUUCCCUCGCCCAUGCGGAGCUAGAGUCUAUGCCAGGACGUCAAGGAGUCAGAAGCUGAGUUUUUCUAAAACAGACCAUCUCUUCUUCAGUUUCAAAGAGGAUGAGGGCUCAGAAAUCAGUGCUCAAGGCUGGAACAGAAUUCUAAUAGAAAGGCUAAUUUAUAUAAAAUUUGAGUUCCAUUUAUGCUACCCACCGCUGCCAUAGAAUCUCCUAAAAUACAUCUCUGACUUGCCCACUCUGCUGCUCACAAGGCCCUCUCCAUCUCUCCAGCCCUAGCAAAUCCAACCCAGAGUGCCCGCAUGACCACAGAGGCCCCCACUCUCUGAUUCCUACCUUGACUCUCUCUGCUUCAGCAAACUCCUCACUCUUCCUGCAUGUGCUCCCUGCCCACUCACCCUUCCUCAUCCUACUCCUCUGGGGGGAUCCUUCUGUCUCCACAUCUCCGAACCCACCCAUUCUUCCAGUCCACUGCCAGUGGCAAGUAUCCCAUCAGCUCAGCCUGGCCCCUCAUCUCAACUUCCUCACCCACUGUCACCUCUUCUCUUUCUGAACAUGCACAUACAUUUGUUGCUGUCAAACACAGGAGUUCAGAGCAUCCAACUAGAAGAUGUUUUCUGAAGGGUGGGUAUGACUUAUAAUUUUGAUUCAGCUUUGAUUGCC
rnacentral:lncRNA from 1 species